GGAAAUCAUAGAUGCGUUCCUCUUCAACCAUUUUCUGAAAUUUUGCAGCAUCAGUAGCACAGGAGGCUUGAAAAUCCAAGUAAUAAUCUAACUCUUGCCAUAAACCACAUAACUCAGAAUAAUACUGUGCAAUUGUCAUCUUACCUUGCUUAGUUCCAUGAACCUUAUUCUGCAGCUCAUAUAUCUGUGCAUCAUUACCCAUCUGUGAGUAAGUUUGAGAGGCAGCAUUCCAAAUGGUAGCUGCAUUAUCCAGCAACAAACAUCUACGAGCAAUAUGAGAUUGCAUCGAAUUGAUAAGCCAAGACAUCACAAGUGCGUUUUCUUAUUGCCAUUGGCUGUAUGUUGUAUCAGUGAUCUCUGGUUUUGUUUUAUCUCCAAUAAUAUAACCUUGCAUACCUCUAGCUUGAACAAACAGGAGAAAAGACUGCGACCGAGCAAGGUAAUUAGUCCCAUCAAGCUUAACUGAACUGAUUUGUAAAGAGGGGUUUUCAUUAUUGAAAUUACCAGUAAAAACCUUCUUCCCCUCAGCCAUUGCACAAUUGUAGAUAAUAAAAGGUUGAGGAAAAAAA
rnacentral:misc_RNA from 1 species